rnacentral:misc_RNA from 1 species
GAUGAAGAACGUAGCGAAAUGCGAUAAGUAAUGUGAAUUGCAGAAUUCAGUGAAUCAUCGAAUCUUUGAACGCACAUUGCGCCCGCCAGUAUUCUGGCGGGCAUGCCUGUCUGAGCGUCAUUUCAACCCUCAUGCCCCUAGGGCGUGGUGUUGGGGAUCGGCCAAAGCCCGCGAGGGACGGCCGGCCCCUAAAUCUAGUGGCGGACCCGUCGUGGCCUCCUCUGCGAAGUAGUGAUAUUCCGCAUCGGAGAGCGAUGAGCCCCUGCCGUUAAACCCCCAACUUUCCAAGGUUGACCUCAGAUCAGGUAGGAAUACCUGCUGAACUUAAGCAUAUCAAUAAGCGGAGGA